rnacentral:tRNA from 1 species
GUGGGUAUAGCUCAGUUGGUUAGAGCGCCAGAUUGUGGCUCUGGAGGUAGGUUCGAGUCCUGCAUCCCCA